AGUGAACGCUGGCGGUAGGCCUAACACAUGCAAGUCGAACGGCAGCACAGUAAGAGCUUGCUCUUACGGGUGGCGAGUGGCGGACGGGUGAGGAAUACAUCGGAAUCUACUUUUUCGUGGGGGAUAACGUAGGGAAACUUACGCUAAUACCGCAUACGACCUACGGGUGAAAGCAGCGGAUCUUCGGACCUUGCGCGAUUGAAUGAGCCGAUGUCGGAUUAGCUAGUUGGCGGGGUAAAGGCCCACCAAGGCGACGAUCCGUAGCUGGUCUGAGAGGAUGAUCAGCCACACUGGAACUGAGACACGGUCCAGACUCCUACGGGAGGCAGCAGUGGGGAAUAUUGGACAAUGGGCGCAAGCCUGAUCCAGCCAUACCGCGUGGGUGAAGAAGGCCUUCGGGUUGUAAAGCCCUUUUGUUGGGAAAGAAAAGCAGCAGGUUAAUACCCCGCUGUUCUGACGUUACCCAAAGAAUAAGCACCGGCUAACUUCGUG
rnacentral:rRNA from 1 species